rnacentral:rRNA from 1 species
CAUGGAGAGUUUGAUCCUGGCUCAGGAUGAACGCUGGCGGUAUGCUUAACACAUGCAAGUCGAACGCCCCUUCGGGGGAGUGGCGGACGGGUGAGUAACGCGUGAGAAUCUGCCUUAGGGUCGGGGACAACCACCGGAAACAGUGGCUAAUACCGGAUGUGCCGAGAGGUGAAAGAUUUAUUGCCAUAAGAGGAGCUCGCGUCUGAUUAGCUAGUUGGUAGGGUAAAGGCCUACCAAGGCAACGAUCAGUAGCUGGUCUGAGAGGAUGAGCAGCCACACUGGGACUGAGACACGGCCCAGACUCCUACGGGAGGCAGCAGUGGGGAAUUUUCCGCAAUGGGCGAAAGCCUGACGGAGCAAUACCGCGUGAGGGAGGAAGGCUUUUGGGUUGUAAACCUCUUUUAUCAGGGAAGAAGAAAGUGACGGUACCUGAGGAAAAAGCAUCGGCUAACUCCGUGCCAGCAGCCGCGGUAAUACGGAGGAUGCAAGCGUUAUCCGGAAUUAUUGGGCGUAAAGCGUCCGUAGGUGGUACCUCAAGUCGGCUGUUAAAGACCAGGGCUUAACUCUGGGCAGGCAGUGGAAACUGAGGAACUAGAGGGCAGUAGGGGUAGAGGGAAUUCCUAGUGUAGCGGUGAAAUGCGUAGAUUUCGGGAAGAACAUCGGUGGCGAAGGCGCUCUACUGGACUGAACCUGACACUGAGGGACGAAAGCUAGGGGAGCGAAUGGGAUUAGAUACCC